CUUGGUCAUUUAGAGGAAGUAAAAGUCGUAACAAGGUUUCCGUAGGUGAACCUGCGGAAGGAUCAUUAUUGAAUAUGAUUGGUGCUGUUGCUGGCUUCUUCCCUGAGGCAUGUGCACGCCCAUCUAUUUAUCUUCUCUUGUGCACAUAUUGUAGUCUUGAAUCGAAACGUCUCGCAGCAAUGCGGUUUGGGAGGCUGGGUGCUUUUAACGGCCCCUCCUCCUGCUUCUUCAAGGCUACGUUUUCAUAUACACGUUAAAGUUACAGAAUGUCUUUUAACGAUUGUGCUUGUCGCAGUCAUUAAACCUAUACAACUUUCAGCAACGGAUCUCUUGGCUCUCCCAUCGAUGAAGAACGCAGCGAAAUGCGAUAAGUAAUGUGAAUUGCAGAAUUCAGUGAAUCAUCGAAUCUUUGAACGCACCUUGCGCCCUUUGGUAUUCCGAAGGGCAUGCCUGUUUGAGUGUCAUUAAAUUAUCAACCUUGUUCGCUUUUCGGAGCUUGAGCGAGGCUUGGAUGUGAGGGUUUGCUGGCUUCCUUCAUUGGAUGGUCUGCUCCCUUUAAAUGCAUUAGUGGGAUCUCUUUUGUGGACCGUCACUUGGUGUGAUAAUCAUCUAUGCCAUUGACUUGCUUAACGAGAAUCUGCUCAUAACCGUCUCGCAAGGGACAACACUUUAUUGACAAUUUGACCUCAAAUCAGGUAGGACUACCCGCUGAACUUAAGCAUAUCAAUAAGCGGAGGAAAAGAAACUAACAAGGAUUCCCCUAGUAACUGCGAGUGAAGCGGGAAAAGCUCAAAUUUAAAAUCUGGCGGUCCUUGUGGCUGUCCGAGUUGUAAUUUAGAGAAGUGUUAUCCGCGCUGGACCGUGCACAAGUCUCCUGGAAUGGAGCGUCAUAGAGGGUGAGAAUCCCGUCUUUGGCACGGACACACCAGGGCUUUUGUGAUGCGCUCUCGAAGAGUCGAGUUGUUUGGGAAUGCAGCUCAAAAUGGGUGGUGAACUCCAUCUAAAGCUAAAUAUUGGCGAGAGACCGAUAGCGAACAAGUACCGUGAGGGAAAGAUGAAAAGCACUUUGGAAAGAGAGUGAAACAGUACGUGAAAUUGUUGAAAGGGAAACGCUUGAAGUCAGUCGCGUCGACCGAGACUCAGCCUUGCCUUGGCUUGGUGUACUUCUCGGCUGACGGGUCAGCAUCAAUUUUGCCCCUUGGAUAAUGGCGAGGGAAAUGUGACACCUUUGCGGUGUGUUAUAGUCUCUUGUCGCAUGCAAGGGUUGGGAUUGAGGAACUCAGCACGCGCCUUUGGGCGUCGGGGCUUCGCCCACGAUACGUGCUUAGGAUGUUGGCGUAAUGGCUUUAAACGACCCGUCUUGAAACACGGACC
rnacentral:rRNA from 1 species